CAAUGAAGGAAGCAUGAUAAUGUGCACAUAAAUUGAAUUAGAUCUCUAGGCCUGCCCUCUCUGAUGCUAUUUGGCUUUGAUUUGGGGGCAUGGUUCGCAGCAAAAUAG